UACGGAGGGUGCAAGCGUUAUCCGGAUUCACUGGGUUUAAAGGGUGCGUAGGUGGGUUGGUAAGUCAGUGGUGAAAUCCCGAGCUUAACUUGGGAACUGCCAUUGAUACUAUCAGUCUUGAAUACCGUGGAGGUCAGCGGAAUAUGUCAUGUAGCGGUGAAAUGCUUAGAUAUGACAUAGAACACCAAUUGCGAAGGCAGCUGGCUACACGAAUAUUGACACUGAGGCACGAAAGCGUGGGGAUCAAACAGG
rnacentral:rRNA from 1 species